CUUUGGCCUGAGAAGCAACAACACCCUACCUGAUUCCAGAAGCCCAGAGUACUGCUGGGAUGGUGGCCAUGUCCACAUGAGCAAAGCUGGGCCUGCCAAACUUCCCUUCUACACAUUCAGCACAGUCCUGGAUUCUAGAACAACCUAUUGAGGUGACAAAUAACUCCCUUGGUGGAACUUCCACAUGAAUAAGAAAGAGAAGAGGACUUUUCUUCCCCCUGCCAAGUUAUAUGUGUGCACUUUUACAAGAGCUAUGGGAAGAUACCCUGCCUUUAUCUUAUUCAAAUGAAUGAAUCCAAUGAUGUGCAUCUGUCUUAGUUUGUUUCUUCUGGAGUCAGAACCUGAGAUCUAGAAUUGCAUGCAGGGCGUUCAAGAGGUGAUCCCAGGAUCCCAAAGAGAAGGGACAUGAAGGAGACAAAAAGGAGGGAAUAUCCAAUACAAUAGAAGUGUGUUUUAGGGUUGCUUCCACAGGAAUCAGGAUUUGACCCUGCUAGGACAUCCUGGGAAGUAUGUAGAAUGCUUCUGGACUUGUCCACCUGAAAUAAAGGAGGCAAGAGCAUUUAUCCCUGGCUCUUGUCCUGCAUUGAUUGAAGAUUUCCCCUUCAGGUGUUAACCUUGCACUUCUGGGUUGUACUUGUGCACUAGCCAAGAGUGCUAUUUCAGC